GUCUGAUCAAGCGCCAAUAGUGUUAUAUUUGGAGGAGUCCUUCAAGUCGAAUCCAUGCAGGCCAUGGAGACUCAGUGACCAAUUAGUCACAGAGCUUGAAAAUAAGACGCUUGCUGAAAAAGAGCUUAAUAACUAUUACAGGGAAAAUUCAAAUCCAAAUGUACUUGUUACUUCAUUAUGGAAAGCUCAUAAAGCUGUUUUGCGAGGACACUUAAUACAGAGGGCAUCAUAUUUGAAGAAAAUUCGAUCGAAAAAUUUAAGAGAAUUGGAAAAAGAAUUGUAUAACUUAAAUCUGGCAAACAAAUUUGGCGCUUCCUCGUCCCUCCCUGCAAUGAUCCUCGUUGUUAAA